UACGGAGGGGGCUAGCGUUGUUCGGAAUCACUGGGCGUAAAGCGCACGUAGGCGGCUUUGUAAGUCAGAGGUGAAGGCCCGGGGCUCAACCCCGGAAUUGCCUUUGAGACUGCAUCGCUUGAACGUCGGAGAGGUGAGUGGAAUUCCGAGUGUAGAGGUGAAAUUCGUAGAUAUUCGGAAGAACACCAGUGGCGAAGGCGGCUCACUGGACGACUGUUGACGCUGAGGUGCGAAAGCGUGGGGAGCAAACAGG
rnacentral:rRNA from 1 species